GGCAAGCUUAGAAGGCUUUUGUCUAGAAUUUCCUACUACUUUUCCAAUGGACCAUUUCUAAGGUUCUGGAUCAAGAAAGGAUAUUAUCCACGCAAAGAUCCUGAUUCUCGCAUGCUAAAACCUAGAUGGGAAGAUAUAUGCACCUUUCGAGCAUUCCCUUACAAGAUGCAGACAUCUUUACAGUAAUUCGAGCUUGUUGAUGAUUAUAUUCAAUCAGAAAUAAAUAAGCCUCCAUCACAGGCAUCUUGCACUGUAAGUUUUGUGAACCUUUAUUGAAUAUCUCAACUCAGAUAUGUAAGUUAGCAAAGUACUCUACUCUGCUCUUCAUUCCCCUAGCAUGAGGUAGAGUUCUAUGUUAACUAUGGAUGAUAUGGACUUUGUCCUUUUUUUCUUCCUCCUUCCUCUUUGAUUGAAUGAGCAAAUAGGUAGCUGUUUUACUCCAUAAAAUUUUCUUCUAUUCUGAAAUUGUGUGCAUAUUGAUGUUGCUAUGUUAUGUUUGAUUGGUUGUUUUGUUUUUUGACUUUUGAAUUUGUAUUUGAAUGAGAUUAUAACAUUCUGGUUUAUGUAGUAUUUUUAAUUUGAAUGAUAUUUUAAAGUUUACA